CACACAGGACUGCUGGUAUUAAGCCGGAGGAAGUGGGACGACGUCAAGUCAGCAUGACCUUUAUAUCCAGGGCUACACACACGCUACAAUGGUCAGUACAAUGGGUUGCCAAGCCGCGAGGCGGAGCCAAUCCUAAAAGCUGGCCUCAGUUCAGAUUGCAGUCUGAAACUCGACUGCAUGAAGUCGGAGUUGCUAGUAAACGCAGGUCAGCUAUACUGCGUUGAAUACGUUCCCGGGGCUU
rnacentral:rRNA from 1 species